CUUGAACCUCAAGGUAAAACAUUAGCAAAUUUGCCGAAGUUUUUUUAACUACUUAGUCUAUCAGUAUUAGUUUUACAUACUUAGGUAUACAUAUUUUUGUAACGUGUACUAAAAGGAAUGCUAAAGAUACGAAGUACUACAAGCUGCCGAGGUGGGCAUACUACAUUUACAAGGUAUCUUACAGAACGAGAAAUAUAAUUUGUUAUCGACGUUCACUUCAUAUUAACGAAAAUUCUGACCUGAAUGUACAGCGAAUGGAUGAGAAAAACGAGUGAUGACAUUUUCCAAUGAAUACUAAUUUUACUGCCCUCAAGCUGAAAUUUCUUCAAUGUCUUCUAGAUACAUAUAACGUUUCUCAUUAACGAGGAUGGGCGUUGUCAGUGACGCAACAUAUAGGAUUUUUUUCAGUCAAUUUGUUUAUAUCGCAUAUCACUUAGAAAGCCGGUCCUGUGCGCCACUUCUUAUCGCUAACUCAAGAAUGUUAUCAGAAAACUGCAGGUACUUCGAGUCUGCUGAUAAAAAAUAAAUCUGGCAACGGUGCCCUGGAAGUGUAGACAUGACUUCCAUAUUAUUGACAAAAAGCCGACUUUGUACAACUGGUUGCCGAGUUUCUGGCGGCGAUACGAAUAUCCGGCGUGCCGUUGUCACAUGAAUUGGAAUGGCAACUUGUUGAUUAUUCACUUGUUGACCUAUUCGAAUCUGCAAUCGAAUCUGAUGUGCCAUCUAUACAGAACGCGAAGAAACAGCAUUUUGAAUAUUUUGAUAACUAGCUCGCGUCGUGAUUUACAAAGAAAGUGUUGUAUUGACAGCCAUUCGGUUUCGUUUGUCAGCAAACAAAUACUAGAAGCGGAAAGGUUCCCAACAGCAACAAGAAUCAAGGUCUUAUUUUUGCCUCUAGCUAGUUAAAUGUGAUGUCAUAAUGACAUCACCGGGAGGCUCUGCGACUUCGUUAAGCAUUGGUUAGGCAUUAAAAAAGUGGACAUAGUUCACAGCGCAAGGUGGUUAUAUUUCGGAAAAGUUUGCACAACAUUCGCGGACGAUAAGUGAACCGUAAUUGUCGAUUGUUGCCAAUCCAAUUCAUUUCGAAUUCGCCAUUGCUGUUUGGUGGAGUAGAAUCAAUAGCGGUUGACGUCACGGUGGGUGCUUGUCGGAGCGGCGCUAUCAGUGAAGCGGGGGGGGGAUCAGUGCACUUGUAACUUGGCUAGUAGUGUCAUGUAUUCGCGCAAGUGUCUCGAACUGUCUUAUGUUUUGUGAUUGAUUUAGUGCAUUGUGCUACGCUAAAUUCGGCUGCCAUUUUGCUGCUUUUCGGCAACCGGUCCCAAGUAAUGAUUCCAGAUCACAACAAGAUCAUAUUUUGAUACACUAUGCGAGAUGAUCAGGAGAAAAAUUGACAUGGAAUAGGAGGAGGUAAGUUUUCACAAAUAACUUGUAUAUGAGCCUUAAUUU